rnacentral:rRNA from 1 species
AUUGAACGCUGGCGGCAGGCCUAACACAUGCAAGUCGAGCGAGCGGCUGACGGGUGAGUAAUGUAUGGGGACUCCCCGAUGUAGGGGGAUAACUCCUGGACACCGUAGCUACUCCCCCAUACUAUCGGAUAACCCAUAUGGGAUUAGCUAGUAUGUGAGGUAAUGGCUCACCUAGGUGACGAUCCCUAGCUGGUCUGAGAGGAUGAUCAGCCACACUGGGACUGAGACACGGCCCAGACUCCUACGGAGGCAGCAGUGGGGAAUAUUGCACAAUGGGCGCAAGCCUGAUGCAGCCAUGCCGCGUGUAUGAAGAAGGCCCUAGGGUUGUAAAGUACUUUCAGUCGGGAGGCGUUACCGACAGAAGAAGCACCGGCUAACUCCGUGCCAGCAGCCGCGGUAAUUC